CUAAACAAAUAUUUUAGAUAAGUUAAAUUAACUUAUGGGUGAAUUUCUCCAUUUUUGCCAGCUCAGUGGCAGAUUUUUAGCAUGAAGGAUGAAGUCUUCCAAGUAUUUCUGUGAUUAAUAGAAGCUGCUAUGCAAUGUGUUCCAGCACCCCGCAAAGACUGGCAGAUGGACCAAAGAGACCAGAGACCGUGGCAAGCUGGACUGAGGGAACCCAGCAUUAGUUGUACUAUGGUGAUAGCAGCUUUGUGAACAAAGGUACUGCCACAAAAGUGGAUCAUUUCCUGGGGCAAAUGAACUGGCUCCCUGACUGGCCACGUCAUUAAAAACAGAAGCAAGGAUGAAAGACCUGAUUGAAGCCGAGUUCCAUCAGUGAGGCGCUGUCCUUCAGGUGAUGAUGGCAAUGACACCGACCUGUGCCAUCUGCUGU